rnacentral:rRNA from 1 species
UACGGGGGGGCAAGGCGUUGUUCGGAAUUACUGGGCGUAAAGGGCUCGUAGGCGGCCAACUAAGUCAGACGUGAAAUCCCUCGGCUUAACCGGGGAACUGCGUCUGAUACUGGAUGGCUUGAAUCCGGGAGAGGGAUGCGGAAUUCCAGGUGUAGCGGUGAAAUGCGUAGAUAUCUGGAGGAACACCGGUGGCGAAGGCGGGUCUCUGGGCCGAUACUGACGCUGAGGAGCGAAAGCGUGGGGAGCGAACAGG